CUUAUUGAUUAUAUCAUUUUGUGUUUUUAGCUGGCAUGGGCUUGGAAGCAUGCCUUCAGCGGAGGCGAUGCGUCUUUUUGUCAAAAUCUUAGAGGAAGAAGAUCCUGGAUGGUACUCUAGGGCCCCUGAGUUCAACCCUGAGCCUGUUGUAGAUAUUCAGAUGCAU